AUGGUUAAGGGGUUUGUGGUGGUGCUUGUUAGAGAUUUAUCCAGCCUUUUUAGAUAAUAGAGAGAUCAUUCAGGAGCUGUACUGGAGGGGUUUUUAUAAGAUCAAAUCAUUGAUGGAGAAUCAGAUGCUGGUAUCGAAGGUGAAAGUGGAGAUUGAGGUAGGUUUUUAAUAAGAAUUGCGGAGUUGGGGGUGUUAAUUAGCGUGCCUGUCAGUUUUUUUUGCAUAAAUUUAUAGUGGGUAUAUUGGGACUUUGAAAUUCUAAGGGUAUUCUCGAUUGUACAUGUCAUUGAUACUGUUUUGUCUUCCUAGAACAACUCCAUAGACCUCAACUGAGGUGCUCCUGCUUAUUCCUUGGUCUGACACUGUCAACAAACUUUGGCAUACUUUUGUGGUUAAAUAAUGAAAUUGUUGCUCUGUGGGCUGCUUUUCUUUUUUGUCAUAUCAGGGAAUUUAAAUAUGGUAUGCAAUCAUGCAUAUGUUUUGAAGUCAUGAUAAAAAUAAUAUGUGUUUGUCGGAACCUUCUUAUGUGGUAAUAUGAUUGCAAACUUGUCAUUCUUGGCUGUUGAAAUUUGCGCAGCUUCCACAUCACUUGUCAUGGAAAAUAGAAAUACACUCUUCAUAUGCCUGGGAAUUAGUCAAGUAUGGCUUGUCUGCACAAAACCUUUUGAUUAAUCAUGUCAAUUUUAAAUAGAUUAGCUUUUAAUACAAAAUCACCCAUUAUAUAUUAUUGCACAAGAUUUUGAUUUGCACCAGGUAUUUGGUCAGCAAACGGCCAGAUUCACAAGGAAGUUUUUUUUGGGGAUCAUAAAACAGUGUUUUCUUCCUUCUUUGAAAUUAUGCAUUCGGAAUCGGAUACCCAUAAUAUAUGUGUAGUGAGUACUAGAUUUACGUACUUGGCUUAUGAUGAUAAAUUUUCCGUAAUGUAAUUUAGAUGGAUUGAUUUUAGUAGGCAUUUGAAUGUGUGUUGAGGCAAUCAUCGAAAUAGGCUUUGUUGUGUUUGCCUUUUAAGCUAGCCUACUUAUGUCGAAAUAGCUUGUCCAAUGUAGAUAAUAUAGCAAUUGUCAGUAAUUACAUGGAAUUUUAAUUUGUAAUGGUUGUAUGAUUUGUAUUCUCAAAUCACUGAUUUAAAGCCACGAAAGAAGGUAAUACUAGUUUAAGCGAUAUUUAAGAUUUAUUUUACCGAAUGCAAGAAUGGAAUUGGGGACAGUUCGUAAGCGGAAGGCAUUCAAUUCUGAUAGUUUUUUUGAAACAAUGACUGUUGUCAAUGGUGAAGGAAAUGAACCCAAUGCAAAAUAGUUGUGGAUUUGUCGACUUCUUAUAAGUUUGUGAAAUAAUACCAAAAACUUUAUCGAUCAAUUAUUUCUUUGCAUAUCCAAGAUUGAAUCUGAUUUUUGCUAAAGGAGAGGUUUUGGUUGCAAUCUUUAAAUUUUUAUUGGGGAUGAAGGCAGGGGAUGAAGGGGCAUGCAUUACAAGAGAGAUUAGUAAGUUGGAAGUGAUGUUUAUUUUAUUUUUUAUUUUGGUUGAAAUACAAUAUUUUAGGAAUGGUAUGUAAUAAUAUUUAUUGAAUUCUCGUAGGAUCGGAAAGAACUAGGAUUGGAUUUUAAGAACCUACCCCCAAGCGAAAAAAUCAAAUAUAUAAGUCAGUCGCACAAAGUUGAGAAAGUUGCUGAUGAGGAGGCAAGAUUUAAGAUUCCUUUUGUGAUUGAAUAUUCCAAAUGCCUACAAUUUGGGCUACUUUUCUGUUUGUUGUAUCAGGGGAAUUCAAUGUGGCGUCAAAUCUUAUUUUGUAUGUUUUGAUACCAUAAUUACAGUUUCUGUACUGCCAUGAAUGUUGUGCGCGGGUUAAAUACUUAUAUCGUACUUGUCAUUGCUCUAUUUUAAUCUUGUUCUUAGACUACAUUGCUCAUGAAUCAUGAUGGUGCUUGGGUGAAUAAACUAAUUCUAUCCUCUGGACAGUUGCUGGGGUGUAAUGUUACUGAGGUAUAACUUUAUAUCCGUCUUUAGUAUCUAGAAAAAUAAGGAUUUGAUGCACUAAAUUACUCCAUACUCCAUACGUAACUAUUUCUGCAAAUGUACUUGAUUUGACUGAUAAAUUUGCUUUUGCCUUAUGUGGUGCUGCAGUGACGUCAGAGCAGAUUAUUUUGGAAUGCUUUUCCCUCUAUACUUAGAUAAUCAUGUCCAACGCACACCAUUGUCUCCAACAUUUGAGUGGUCAUUUACAAGAGGCUUUUCUAUUG
rnacentral:lncRNA from 1 species